rnacentral:rRNA from 1 species
AAAGGCCAAUCAAACCGGGAGAUAGCUGGUUCUCCCCGAAAGCUAUUUAGGUAGCGCCUCGUGAAUUCAUCUCCGGGGGUAGAGCACUGUUUCGGCAAGGGGGUCAUCCCGACUUACCAACCCGAUGCAAACUGCGAAUACCGGAGAAUGUUAUCACGGGAGACACACGGCGGGUGCUAACGUCCGUCGUGAAGAGGGAAACAACCCAGACCGCCAGCUAAGGUCCCAAAGUCAUGGUUAAGUGGGAAACGAUGUGGGAAGGCCCAGACAGCCAGGAUGUUGGCUUAGAAGCAGCCAUCAUUUAAAGAAAGCGUAAUAGCUCACUGGUCGAGUCGGCCUGCGCGGAAGAUGUAACGGGGCUAAACCAUGCACCGAAGCUGCGGCAGCGACGCUGAUGCGUUGUUGGGUAGGGGAGCGUUCUGUAAGCCUGUGAAGGUGUGCUGUGAGGCAUGCUGGAGGUAUCAGAAGUGCGAAUGCUGACAUAAGUAACGAUAAAGCGGGUGAAAAGCCCGCUCGCCGGAAGACCAAGGGUUCCUGUCCAACGUUAAUCGGGGCAGGGUGAGUCGACCCCUAAGGCGAGGCCGAAAGGCGUAGUCGAUGGGAAACAGGUUAAUAUUCCUGUACUUGGUGUUACUGCGAAGGGGGGACGGAGAAGGCUAUGUUGGCCGGGCGACGGUUGUCCCGGUUUAAGCGUGUAGGCUGGUUUUCCAGGCAAAUCCGGAAAAUCAAGGCUGAGGCGUGAUGACGAGGCACUACGGUGCUGAAGCAACAAAUGCCCUGCUUCCAGGAAAAGCCUCUAAGCAUCAGGUAACAUCAAAUCGUACCCCAAACCGACACAGGUGGUCAGGUAGAGAAUACCAAGGCGCUUGAGAGAACUCGGGUGAAGGAACUAGGCAAAAUGGUGCCGUAACUUCGGGAGAAGGCACGCUGAUAUGUAGGUGAAGUCCCUCGCGGAUGGAGCUGAAAUCAGUCGAAGAUACCAGCUGGCUGCAACUGUUUAUUAAAAACACAGCACUGUGCAAACACGAAAGUGGACGUAUACGGUGUGACGCCUGCCCGGUGCCGGAAGGUUAAUUGAUGGGGUUAGCGCAAGCGAAGCUCUUGAUCGAAGCCCCGGUAAACGGCGGCCGUAACUAUAACGGUCCUAAGGUAGCGAAAUUCCUUGUCGGGUAAGUUCCGACCUGCACGAAUGGCGUAAUGAUGGCCAGGCUGUCUCCACCCGAGACUCAGUGAAAUUGAACUCGCUGUGAAGAUGCAGUGUACCCGCGGCAAGACGGAAAGACCCCGUGAACCUUUACUAUAGCUUGACACUGAACAUUGAGCCUUGAUG